UGCGGGGUGGAGCAGCCCGGUAGCUCGCAAGGCUCAUAACCUUGAGGUCGCAGGUUCAAAUCCUGCCCCCGCAACCA
rnacentral:tRNA from 1 species